AUUGAACGCUGGCGGCAUGCCUUACACAUGCAAGUCGAACGGCAGCAUAGGAGCUUGCUCCUGAUGGCGAGUGGCGAACGGGUGAGUAAUAUAUCGGAACGUGCCCUAGAGUGGGGGAUAACUAGUCGAAAGACUAGCUAAUACCGCAUACGAUCUACGGAUGAAAGUGGGGGAUCGCAAGACCUCAUGCUCCUGGAGCGGCCGAUAUCUGAUUAGCUAGUUGGUGGGGUAAAAGCUCACCAAGGCGACGAUCAGUAGCUGGUCUGAGAGGACGACCAGCCAAACUGGGACUGAGACACGGCCCAGACUCCUACGGGAGGCAGCAGUGGGGAAUUUUGGACAAUGGGGGCAACCCUGAUCCAGCAAUGCCGCGUGAGUGAAGAAGGCCUUCGGGUUGUAAAGCUCUUUUGUCAGGGAAGAAACGGUUCUGGAUAAUACCUGGAGCUAAUGACGGUACCUGAAGAAUAAGCACCGGCUAACUACGUGCCAGCAGCCGCCGUAA
rnacentral:rRNA from 1 species